rnacentral:lncRNA from 1 species
UCUAAAAUAACAACUUCCAAAGUUUAUUUUUUUCUUCUCCUCUAUAAUUUUAUAUAAUAGCAUUUUAUAACAUUUAGUAUUAUAGUUUAAUGCCAGUUUACAUCUACAAUACAGAUUUUGAAAGUCUGUGUUAUAUUUAAUGUUAAUAACAAUCAUGGUUCUGUUUACUAGGAAAGUGUGUAUGAGAUGAUCUACCUGCUAGAGCAUCUUACGUCUACUGGUUGGUGGAGCCUCAGUGCAGAAACAAAUAUUUCAUGAUACUGAUCACUGAUAUUAGUCCUGAGUGAAACAGACAUCUGUCAGAUGGCCUUGGCUCCAAAUGCUUCCUGAGCAUUUCCGAAGGCGAGAGAAAUUGUUCCAAAUCUUCGUGCCGCACACUGACGUCCUUCACUCUUAUGGCAAAACAGAUGGAGAGUCCAAGUGACAGAAAACAAGACAGAAGCAGAAAUUUACCAUUGACCGAAGCUCCAUUAGUGAAUCAAUUUUUAAGUAAGAAGAGCUUAGAAAUGGAACAAGGCAUUUUUGACCCACAUAUUUUACAAAUGGAGAAGCAAUUUCAACUGGUUAGCAUGAGCAUAUUUCUCUUCAAGCUACUGCAUACUGAAAAUCCAGCUUGUAAGUGACACGUCACCAGAGGCCACAUCUUUAGAAAAGAGAACUACAUUGAGACCUCCCAUUUAAACUUCGCCAUAUUGCCUGGAUUUGAAAACCAACAAAGCUUUAUGACAAUGUACUGUAGUUUUUUCCAUUAGAUGAUGAAUUCUAAUCAAAGAAACUUUUAUUUUUCUAUAAAGGAAAAAGGAAAAAGAAAUAAAAAAUGAAGAGUUUGAAUAAAAUCUGUGUAU